AUGGUCCUUAGGGAUAUCAGGGAUCUGCUGCAAUCCAUGGGAAAGGAUAUUAAACUCUAUGGACUUCCGAAUCUGGUUGACGCAGAUGGUUCUUCUGACGUUAACAAUACAGAGGUAACAGAGGAGAGACAGGUCAAAGUGGACCAAGAACAUCUAGAUCUAUUCAGCUGUUUGAACAAUGAUCAACUAGCUGGUUUCAAUGACAUAAUGGAUCAUGUGACGAACCAAAAAAGCCAGAUAUUCUUUGUUGACAGUCCAGGAGGCACUAGGAAGAUGUACCUGUACAAGGCAUCCUUGAUAAUUUGGGAUGAAGUUGCUAUGACAAAGUGUCAAGCAGUUGAGACGCUUGAUAGAUCGCUGCAGGAUAUAAUGAAAUGUUCUUUACCAUUUGGUGGAAAGGUUGUCGUCUUUGGUGGCGAUUUCAGGCAAGUCCUCCCUGUUGUGACCUGA
rnacentral:rRNA from 1 species